UACAGAGGGGGCAAGCGUUGUUCGGAAUUACUGGGCGUAAAGGGCUCGUAGGCGGCCAACUAAGUCGGAUGUGAAAUCCCCAGGCUCAACUUGGGAACUGCAUCCGAUACUGGAUGGCUUGAAUUCGGGAGAGGGAUGCAGAAUUCCAGGUGUAGCGGUGAAAUGCGUAGAUAUCUGGAGGAAUACCGGUGGCGAAGGCGGCAUCCUGGACCGACAUUGACGCUGAGGAGCGAAAGCUAGGGGAGCAAACAGG
rnacentral:rRNA from 1 species